rnacentral:rRNA from 1 species
AGAGUUUGAUCAUGGCUCAGGACGAACGCUGGCGGCAUGCCUAACACAUGCAAGUCGAACGAGAACGUUCCUUCGGGAGCAAUUAAAGUGGCGCACGGGUGAGUAACGCGUAGACAGUCUGCCCUUCAGUCUGGGACAACUUUUCGAAAGGAGAGCUAAUACCGGAUAACAAUGCAUGACACAAGUUGUAUAUUUGAAAGCUUUAUGUGCUGAAGGAGGGGUCUGCGUCCCAUUAGCUAGUUGGUAAGGUAAAGGCUUACCAAGGCAACGAUGGGUAGCGGGUUUGAGAGGACGAUCCGCCACACUGGAACUGAGACACGGUCCAGACUCCUACGGGAGGCAGCAGUGGGGAAUAUUGCACAAUGGAGGAAACUCUGAUGCAGCAAUGUCGCGUGAGUGAAGAAGGCCCUUGGGUCGUAAAGCUCUUUUAUGGGGGAAGAUGAUGACGGUACCCCAAGAAUAAGCACCGGCUAACUAUGUGCCAGCAGCCGCGGUAAUACAUAGGGUGCGAGCGUUGUUCGGAAUUACUGGGCGUAAAGGGCGCGCAGGCGGAAUAGUAAGUCGGAGGUGAAAGCCCGGGGCUCAACCCCGGAGGGUCUUUCGAAACUACUAAUCUAGAGAGGGUCAGGGGCCGGCAGAAUUCCUGGUGUAGAGGUGAAAUUCGUAGAUAUCAGGAGGAAUACCGGUGGCGAA